UACGAAGGGUGCAAGCGUUACUCGGAAUUACUGGGCGUAAAGCGUGCGUAAGUGGUUUGUUAAGUCUGUUGUGAAAGCCCCGGGCUCAACCUGGGAAUGGCAAUGGAUACUGGCAGGCUAGAGUUCGGUAGGGGAGACUGGAAUUCCUGGUGUAGCGGUGAAAUGCGCAGAUAUCAGGAAGAACACCCGUGGCUAAGGCGGCUCUCUAGUACGGUACUGACGCUGAGACGCGAAAGCGUGGGGAGCGAACAGG
rnacentral:rRNA from 1 species